UUCUGUGAUGAAAAUUGCUGCAUAGGAAGUGCCGUCUGAUGCGAAAACUGACGAUGUAUUAAGCUGUUCUGAGA
ensembl:snoRNA